UACGUAGGGGGCAAGCGUUGUCCGGAAUCAUUGGGCGUAAAGAGCGUGUAGGCGGUCCGUUAAGUCGGCUGUGAAAGUCCAAGGCUCAACCUUGGGAUGCCGGUCGAUACUGCCGGACUAGAGUCCGGAAGAGGAGAGUGGAAUUCCUGGUGUAGCGGUGAAAUGCGCAGAUAUCAGGAAGAACACCCGUGGCUAAGGCGGCUCUCUAGUACGGUACUGACGCUGAGACGCGAAAGCGUGGGGAGCGAACAGG
rnacentral:rRNA from 1 species